UACGUAGGGUGCAAGCGUUGUCCGGAAUUAUUGGGCGUAAAGAGCUCGUAGGCGGUCUGUCGCGUCUGCUGUGAAAACUCAGGGCUUAACCCUGAGCUUGCAGUGGGUACGGGCAGACUAGAGUGCGGUAGGGGAGACUGGGAAUUCCUGGUGUAGCGGUGGAAUGCGCAGAUAUCAGGAGGAACACCGGUGGCGAAGGCGGGUCUCUGGGCAAUAACUGACGCUGAGGAGCGAAAGCGUGGGGAGCAAACAGG
rnacentral:rRNA from 1 species